AUUAGUUUUCCGAUUUAUAUGUCGCAGAAGUUUUAAAUCUUCGGUAUUUUCUUUUAAAUCCAAAAUUGCUGGAGUCUUAAAAAGACAAAAAAUGUUCGGUGCCAAUGCCACCAAAUCCAGCUACAAAUACAACAUUCUUCCCGGAAAGAUCCAUUCUAAUAUGAAGAAUAAUCUUUGAGAUGAUACGGCUUUAAGCUUUCUUUAAAAAUCUUUUCUUCACCAGCGACAAUUGCCUAUCCUAAUGAAUCCUGGAAGAUGGGUGCGUUGCAUUUUUAUACCAAGACCAUUGAUAAGUAUAAAAGUUAUGACAAAACACGUUGCGUUUUGAAUUUUUUUUAUUUUGUUUAACAGAUCAAAAAAAUUCGGUGUGAGGAGAGCGAACCUUGAUCUUGACUAAGAUUAAUAAUUCAUAAUAAUUUCGCUUUGCUGGAAAAUUGUAAGGUCUUGUAUUAAGUGAGAAAAUGUUAGAAAGCUGUCUUAAAAAUCACUUGUAUAGUCACGUGAGGGAUUCUCCCGAACGAAUUAAAAUUGCAAUUAAAGUGCUUACCAUCAACUUGAUUUUCUAAAUUCAAGUUAAUUGAACAUCUUGACGGCAGCAACAAAUUAUUAUACAGAUGCAUAUAUAAUAGAUAUAAGAUAUAUGCACGUUUAUUAGUAAAACACAGAAGCAAGGAUAUGAAUGUAAAUGACUACAAUAUUUGCGUAAUAUCUUUGAAACAAAAACUAUUAAUAAGCCACACAUGCAAAAAUACCUACGUACAUGGCAAUUAUUGAAAAAAAAAGUACUCAUAAGUUGGCAGAUAUUCAGCAUUAAGAUGAAGGCAUUAUUCGUAUUAAGAGACAAAAAGACAGACAUGAAAAUGUGCAUGUCUUUACAAGCGUGCGAUCGAUUAUGACGUCUGUGUUUCGUCGAAUCGUAUGUUAAAAAUUGAAAAUUAAUAUCUUACACUCGCACAAACAAUGGUGUACAUUCACGAUUUCAAUGGCGAUGAACCGUUCGAACUUAUCGAUGUAAUUCUAAGAUCUAUCACACAUGAUCAAUUUUUAUACGCUACUCCCCUUAUACGCAGGUAUAUUAAUUGGAUAUCCUAACGUUGGCAAAUCUUCGCUCAUUAAUGCUUUGAAAGGCCGCAACAUAACAAGUGUAAGUCUCACCCCUGACCAUACUAUGCAUUCCAUUAUAGACAACUCCCUUUUAGUCUCACUGCCUUGCUCAUACCUUCUACCCAUAAUCUUCCGCACUUGGGCUUCUUAAAAUUAAUUCAUAUUUGUCCUCAGAAGCGAUGCGGGCAAGAAUGAUAUCCUUUUGUGUCGGUCGACCAAAAACAAAGGAAGCUGAGUACGGUUUAUUUGGCACAACUUUAAGUAGGCUACACAAACACUUUUUCAAUUUAUUAGUUACACGCCCUCACAUUACACGACGACGUUUGUUGAUGCGCAAACAAAAGGCCCGUUAUAUUAAAUAUUUAUACUAUACUCUGCGCUGGUGCGCCAUCUGUUUCUAAAAUUCGCAUUUAUAUUUAACAUGUUAACACGAGGAGUGUUUCAACCGAUCACUAAAUGGUGUAUUCUUGCACACGGUACUAUUGAAUCGAUCAGCCAAUUCUACCCAAUUUGUCUAUAUCCGGGUGUAACAUGCUGACUAUACUGCGAUCGAAUCUUACCAGAUGAGAUUUAUGCGAUCGACAUCAUGUAGAUUUUUAGCGUAGAAUUUUCCCUCGAGUCCCAAAUAGUUUUACUACAUCAGAAUCUUAAGACAAUUAAUGGUCGGACAUAAAUGUCAGACGGGAAAAAAAGAAGUAUUUAGUUAAUCCCAAUCUUCCAAGCAAAAGUGCAAAAUAAAAUCAACUUAUUGAUCUCAAAGAAAGGUUGCUUGCGUUCUUGCUUGCGUUAUUGUCUUGACGAAGGAUAAUUGAUCCGAAAGCACUCCUCUACAUAUCCAUAAGAAACCAUACAAAAUUGAAAGAAAAUCGUUUUGCUGCCUCUCGCCAUGCGAAAAAGAAUAUAAUGCGCUAAUCUGCGGAUAUGAAGGCAAGCUUUUCUUACAUUCUCCAUCUAUUGUCAGAUUCUUUCAUGCAUUUGCAGCUUCCCUAAACGUGUCGUUGCAGAGAUUCGAAAAAAGAUCAUUUCAAUACUGGGUUGUCACAAGAUUGCUGCUUCAUUGUAGCUCUACUCAACUAACUAGCAUGAUUUCUAAUAUUAAAAAACAUAAAUAUAAUCCUAGUGAUUCGUCGCUGGCCAAUAAUGAACUCCACUGUACGUAUCUGGAUUAUAUUUAAAGCUUUGUAACACACGGUCGUAUAAUGUGAGAGCUAUUACAAAUACAAUCCUGUAAUAGAAAGCUCGCUAAUUUUACUCGUGGAGAGAGGUUUGUCAUUGAGGAAAAAAACUGGAACCAAUUUCCUGAGAAAAGAAAAAGAAAGAAGGGAAAAAGAUGGUGGUCUUUAAUGUGAUCGUAAUUUAACUUCCUAGAGUGAAUGAAAACUUCCUGAAAGAAAAACAAAAAUAGAAAUAAAUAAAAAGAUUUUGCUUAAAAAUCAAGAUAUGGAGACCAAUCUACUAUAUAAUGAUGAAGAAGAAAUAACUAGUGAAGCGGAAAUCUUGCUUCUAGAUAUAAAGAGAGGGUUUUAAGCUUGGAGCGUGUGGGUAUAUUUUCCGAAUCCAUUGUCCCAUAUUUUAUGAUGGAUAAAAAAUUAUGGAUCCAUCCGUCCAUCUUCCCGUCUGUUAAUCCGUCUAUCUGCCUACAUGUAAGCUAUAUAGUAUCUUUAAUACACAGUCUACUAUUCGCCAAGAAGACGACAUCGCCUACAAAUUUACAAAUGAGUUUGAAAACGGCCCAAGCAGAUCAAAGGGCACGCCUACAACACCCAACACUAAAACUGAGAAUACCUUUGCUUUCCGUGCCUUUUGAUCGUUGCUUAUAAACUGCAACAGCCGCACCCAUUUUACAAAAAUGAAAAAAAUCGGCCACGCCCACCCAAUAUCAUUGAAGGUGAAAAUAUAUAUUUUUUUUACCUUUUUUUUCAAUAUUUUGUAGGAUAGGAGUAAAGGAUAGAACGGAUUCGUAAGCAAGCGCAAAUAUAAUUUUCUUAUAGGUUUUCUUUUUGAAAACAAACAAAAAUUCAUAUAACCGCUUCAAAGCCAUACGUAGGCCAUUAACAAAAAUCCAUAUAAUUAUAUGGGCGACACGUUUAAGUAAUUACAAAAAAUGCACCCUGUAUAAAACUAUUCACGAUAAAAAUCUUAUCCAUUUUUUCGUAGAACCUCUCAUCUCUUCCUAGCUAGUCUCGUCCAUUAUUUCCAAAAAAAAGGCCACAAAUAUUGUUUCGUUUGCGGUCGCCUAAGAGUGUUAAAAUGUUUGCUUCAUUUUGUCAAGAGGUCAACGCGUACAGGCGUUGUUGGUGUAGCCACCUAUCGCUAUAAAUACUAAUUGGCUGGAUAAUAUAUACUAGAGAAGCGAGAAAUUAUUAUUUUAUUAUAAUUAGUUUUGCUAU